rnacentral:rRNA from 1 species
GAUGAACGCUAGCUACAGGCUUAACACAUGCAAGUCGCGGGGCAGCAUGGGGGUUGCUUGCAAUCCCCGAUGGCGACCGGCGCACGGGUGAGUAACGCGUAUCCAACCUGCCCUUCACCACGGGAUAACCCGGCGAAAGUCGGACUAAUACCGUAUGUUGUCCAUUGACGGCAUCCGAUUUGGACGAAAGGCUUGGCGGUGAGGGGUGGGGAUGCGUCCGAUUAGCCAGACGGCGGGGUAACGGCCCACCGUGGCUACGAUCGGUAGGGGUUCUGAGAGGAAGGUCCCCCACACUGGAACUGAGACACGGUCCAGACUCCUACGGGAGGCAGCAGUGAGGAAUAUUGGUCAAUGGGCGUAGGCCUGAACCAGCCAAGUAGCGUGCAGGAUGACGGCCCUAUGGGUUGUAAACUGCUUUUAUGCGGGGAUAAAGUGGCCCACGUGUGGGCUUUUGCAGGUACCGCAUGAAUAAGGACCGGCUAAUUCCGUG